UGUAGUAGUCUUUGAAGACAGGAAAGCAUUCAGUGCGUGGAAGUGAACGAUUCAAAGAUUCAAACUCUGAAUCGUUUAGGAUUGAAGCAUCACACAUUACUGCUAGUAGACUUAAAGUCGUCAGGUGUUGCUGUUAGUAUGUCGACACUAAGUUAUAUGGUCCCAAAUCAUUCUUUUCGGCGACUCAAUAACACAGCGAACGGAUGAGGAUCCGAAAUCUCUCACCAGAAAAUGCGACGUGGUUCUUUCCAGACAAGAACCCUGCGCAGCACGUGCCUCUCCAUGAAUUCACGGAGAAUUUAAAAGAUAUCGUCAAAUAUCUGCUGUCUAUAGGAGGGUCCAAUGACAAGAUCAUCUUCAUCACUCCACCACCACUUCACGAAGCCGCCUAGGAGAAAGAGUGCUUGCUAAAAGGUUCAUCUUUGAAUCGGCUGAACUCUGUGGUUGGUCAGUAUGUGCAGGCCUGCGUUCAGGCUGCUAGACAGUCUGGUGUGGAUGUUCUGGAUCUCUGGACUGGCAUAACCAUAAAUAUAAUGAAUUAACAUAUAAAAAUCAGAACUAGAAUACAAAUAGUUUUUUUUCCCCUAAGGAUUUCUCAGUGUAUCUUUCGGACGCACUUCAUCUCUCUGAUAAAGGCAAUCAGUUUUUGGCAGAGCAUUUUUGGACACUUCUUGAGAGGCGAGUGACUGAUUUGCCCUUCAUUCUGCCUUACUGGGGGGGAAUGUAGACCCAAAAUGCCCUGAGAGCAGCCUACUGUGUGAUUAAAACACAGGUCAAAUGGUGCACAGCGUGCAAAACACCAUUCAGUUCCUGUGGUUUAUAUUUGGACAUUUUUGGAUAUGCUUAUCGUCAUAAAUUGUAUAAGGACCAUCCAACAGUCAACCUGAUUUGAAAACAGGAGGUGUUUUGAGUUACUCUAGUUAAAUCACAGAUGUCACAGACAAUAUUUAAUGCUCUGCCAAAAACAUAUUUAUAUUAAUGUUUUGGUGAGGCCAGUUGAUUUAUUGAGCUUCUUAUACGCACUAAGCUUUUUAGUAGGAACAAUAAUGCCUUUCAUUUUUAGAUCCUCUGGCAAUAUCAAAUGCAUUUUCUUUCAGCGUCAUAAAAUAAUCAGAAACGCUUCAGUGUAGAGACCGUUUAUUCAUGUGGCUUCAAACCCCAAGAAUACAGUACAUGUUAAAUAAAUGUGACAUAACCAAACAAACAUCAAACACACACACACACACACACACACACACUGAAUGAUAGCAGAAUAUGAUCAGAUACAGCUGUCUA